rnacentral:rRNA from 1 species
UACGUAGGGAGCAAGCGUUGUCCGGAAUCAUUGGGCGUAAAGCGCGCGUAGGUGGCUUUGUAAGUCCGCUGUGAAAGUCAAAGGCUCAACCUUUGAAAGCCGGUGGAUACUGUGGAGCUAGAGUCCGGAAGAGGCGAGUGGAAUUCCUGGUGUAGCGGUGAAAUGCGCAGAUAUCGGGAAGAACACCAAUGGCGAAAGCAGCUCUCUGGGACGGUACUGACGCUGAGACGCGAAAGCGUGGGGAGCAAACAGG